rnacentral:lncRNA from 12 species
AACAUCCUUAAUGCUUCUCUUAUUCUCAUACUAAACUCCCUUUCUCUAGGUUUUUAAGAAAGGAUUGAACAGUUCCCUGUCAGAGAUAUUUCAAGUCCAGCUGAUCCUGUCCUCCAGCCAGAGGCUGCUCAGGAAGCAGUUUAUAGACACCAAGGAGCAAAUGUUGGAAAUUAC